GAUGAACGCUGGCGGCGUGCCUAAUACAUGCAAGUCGAGCGAACAGACGAGGAGCUUGCUCCUCUGACGUUAGCGGCGGACGGGUGAGUAACACGUGGAUAACCUACCUAUAAGACUGGGAUAACUUCGGGAAACCGGAGCUAAUACCGGAUAAUAUAUUGAACCGCAUGGUUCAAUAGUGAAAGACGGUUUUGCUGUCACUUAUAGAUGGAUCCGCGCCGCAUUAGCUAGUUGGUAAGGUAACGGCUUACCAAGGCAACGAUGCGUAGCCGACCUGAGAGGGUGAUCGGCCACACUGGAACUGAGACACGGUCCAGACUCCUACGGGAGGCAGCAGUAGGGAAUCUUCCGCAAUGGGCGAAAGCCUGACGGAGCAACGCCGCGUGAAUGAUGAAGGUCUUCGGAUCGUAAAACUCUGUUAUUAGGGAAGGACAAAUGUGUAAGUAACUAUGCACGUCUUGACGGUACCUAAUCAGAAAGCCACGGCUAACUACGUG
rnacentral:rRNA from 1 species